UGGGGAAUAUUGCACAAUGGAGGGAACUCUGAUGCAGCGACGCCGCGUGAACGAAGAAGGCUUUCGCGUCGUAAAGUUCUUUUAUAUGGGAAGAUAAUGACGGUACCAUAAGAAAAAGCCCCGGCUAACUACGUGCCAGCAGACGCGGUAAUACGUAGGGGGCUAGCGUUGUCCGGAAUCACUGGGCGUAAAGGGUUCGCAGGCGGAAAUGCAAGUCAGGUGUAAAAGGCAGUAGCUUAACUACUGUAAGCAUUUGAAACUGCAUAUCUUGAGAAGAGUAGAGGUAAGUGGAAUUUUUAGUGUAGCGGUGAAAUGCGUAGAUAUUAAAAAGAAUACCGGUGGCGAAGGCGACUUACUGGGCUCAUUCUGACGCUGAGGAACGAAAGCGUGGGUAGCAAACAGG
rnacentral:rRNA from 1 species